rnacentral:rRNA from 1 species
AGCGAACGCUGGCGGCAGGCUUAACACAUGCAAGUCGAACGGGCAUCUUCGGAUGUCAGUGGCAGACGGGUGAGUAACACGUGGGAACGUACCCUUCGGUUCGGAAUAACUCAGGGAAACUUGAGCUAAUACCGGAUACGCCCUUUUGGGGAAAGGUUUACUGCCGAAGGAUCGGCCCGCGUCUGAUUAGCUUGUUGGUGGGGUAACGGCCUACCAAGGCGACGAUCAGUAGCUGGUCUGAGAGGAUGAUCAGCCACACUGGGACUGAGACACGGCCCAGACUCCUACGGGAGGCAGCAGUGGGGAAUAUUGGACAAGGGGCGCAAGCCUGAUACAGCCAUGCCGCGUGAGUGAUGAAGGCCUUAGGGUUGUAAAGCUCUUUUGUCCGGGACGAUAAUGACGGUACCGGAAGAAUAAGCCCCGGCUAACUUCGUG